rnacentral:rRNA from 1 species
AUUGAACGCUGGCGGCAGGCUUAACACAUGCAAGUCGAGCGGUAGCACAGGGGAGCUUGCUCCCUGGGUGACGAGCGGCGGACGGGUGAGUAAUGUCUGGGAAACUGCCUGAUGGAGGGGGAUAACUACUGGAAACGGUAGCUAAUACCGCAUAACGUCGCAAGACCAAAGAGGGGGACCUUCGGGCCUCUUGCCAUCAGAUGUGCCCAGAUGGGAUUAGCUAGUAGGUGGGGUAAUGGCUCACCUAGGCGACGAUCCCUAGCUGGUCUGAGAGGAUGACCAGCCACACUGGAACUGAGACACGGUCCAGACUCCUACGGGAGGCAGCAGUGGGGAAUAUUGCACAAUGGGCGCAAGCCUGAUGCGGCCAUGCCGCGUGUGUGAAGAAGGCCUUCGGGUUGUAAAGCACUUUCAGCGAGGAGGAAGGUGGUGAACUUAAUACGUUCAUCAAUUGACGUUACUCGCAGAAGAAGCACCGGCUAACUCCGUG